rnacentral:misc_RNA from 1 species
AAAGUCGUAACAAGGUUUCCGUAGGUGAACCUGCGGAAGGAUCAUUACAGUGCCCCAGGGGUGCCGCACCUUCCCUUAACCGGGAGGGCCCGCCGGCCCCCAGGACGCCCAACCGUGUCUACCUGAACCUAGUUGCCUUGGCGGGCCCGUCGGGGUGAUUCCCGACCGCCGGGGGUAAGCCGCCGUGCUCCCCGGGCCCGCGCCCGCCAAUGGAAUCUUAACCAAACUCUUGUUUAAGCUGGCUGUCUGAGUGAGAAAUAAUUGAAUCAAAACUUUCAACAAUGGAUCUCUUGGUUCCG